rnacentral:snoRNA from 2 species
AUACCAUGAUGAGGACAUCUCCAGAGUAACUCCUUAAAUCUCUCUCAUGCAUCACACAAGCUCUCAUCUUCAAAUUGAUGGAAAGAUGUGAUUUCGUUCCUCGACUUU